rnacentral:rRNA from 1 species
GAUGAACGCUGGCGGCGUGCCUAAUACAUGCAAGUCGAGCGAACAGACGAGGAGCUUGCUCCUCUGACGUUAGCGGCGGACGGGUGAGUAACACGUGGAUAACCUACCUAUAAGACUGGGAUAACUUCGGGAAACAGGAGCUAAUACCAGAUAAUAUAUUGAACCGCAUGGUUCAAUAGUGAAAGACAGUUUUGCUGUCUCUUAUAGAUGGAUCCGCGCCGCAUUAGCUAGUUGGUAAGGUAACGGCUUACCAAGGCAACGAUGCGUAGCCGACCUGAGAGGGUGAUCGGCCACACUGGAACUGAGACACGGUCCAGACUCCUACGGGAGGCAGCAGUAGGGAAUCUUCCGCAAUGGGCGAAAGCCUGACGGAGCAACGCCGCGUGAGUGAUGAAGGUCUUCGGAUCGUAAAACUCUGUUAUUAGGGAAGAACAAAUGUGUAAGUAACUAUGCACGUCUUGACGGUACCUAAUCAGAAAGCCACGGCUAACUACGUG